rnacentral:lncRNA from 10 species
CCGCCUUUCCCUUUGCGUUCUCCAAGCGUUCCGUCCCCCAGAUGCCCUCUGUUUCCUCUGCUCCAGCCUUUUAACUCCUCUCAACAAAGGCCAAGGAAUCAGGCAGACUGUGGACACUCAGGUGUGCAUGAUGGGAAGGGACCUGCAUUUACAAAAGCUCCCCCCCACAGGGACUGCAUGUGCUGGUGGAAUCUCAGUCACCAUGUCCCACGUUGAAGGAUGUUUGGAGGGGGCUGACUUUGGUCACCCUUCAAAUCAUAAGUUAUAUGCGUCUGCCCUUUCCGCCCACACGUAAGUCUGAACCUUUUGCCAAAAACACUUUUCCCAGACUCGAAAGAAAACCCCAAAGAGGAACCUAAACCUUCACGCUGCCUGCACCGAUUGGACCGGAGUGCUCAGGCUCGCGCCAACAAGUGUUUCAAAGAAGAAGCCAGACAGUGAAGGGGGAAGUGAGGGAGAAGCUGGAAAACUCUCAGGCUGACCAAUCGUCAGCCCAUUCAUUCGUUCAUCCAUCCAUCCAUCCAUCCAUCCAUCCAUCCAUCCAUCCAUCCAUUCUUUCUUUCUUUCCUCUAUCCAUUCAGUGAGAAGGGCUGAAUAUCACCUGUGAGCCUGCCCCUGCUCCCAAGAACACCCUUUGGACACCUGUGGGCUCUGCAAGGUUGGUGUAACCCCUACAGAUGAGGAAACCAGAGACAGAGAAGUGAAGUAACUCAUGCAGGUGACGGCAGAGGGCAGAGUCAGGACUUGAACCUGGAGAGCCUGGCUCUAAAGCCCAAGCUGGAAUCUCGAUACUCUACACCUCGAUAAGUUUUUGGGAAAUGACUGACUAAACAGAUGAACGCGUUUGCCCCCCCGCCGCCCCAGAGCCCCCUUAAAGCCUACAUGUGGCAGUUUGGGCCCAUUUCCUUGGCUUCCCUCCCUGGAGGGGCACCCACUGCCAGUGUCCCUGGUGAGUGUUUGCCUGUGGGGGUACAAGUGAGGGUUCAGCAAAGGUGACCUGGUGUGAGGGGGGGGUGCCCCAGGGGGUGCAGAGGAGGGCCUCAUGAGGCAGAUUCAGAAUGAAGGUUCUGGCCCCCAGUGGAACCGUGCAUGGGCAAGGGGUCCUCAGGGCCAUUGGCCCAUAAUUGUCAGACGGGGAAACUGAGGCCCAGAGAGAGGAAGGGACUUGUCCUUAGUUACACAGAGUGUCUGGAUCACAGCUCUUAGGUCUCAGCUUCCCCAUUUGUCACACAGGGAGAAUAAAUCCCCCUUGUCCUGCCUGGGGGUAGACCCCAGGGGGCCCCUGUGCCCUCUCACACCUUCCAUUCCAGCUUCUAGAAUUCCACCAUCCAUGCACCAGCCCUGAGGGUAGGCGUUGCCCUCUUCUCACCUCCUGCUCACGCCUCUACUGCAGGAUGGGAACCAAAUGCCUCUCCACCCUUUUCCCACACCCCUUCUCUCCACAGUGAACUGAGGGGAGUUUCUGAUCCCUUAGCUCAAAGUCAGAGAAACUGAGAGGGGAGGGCUGGGUGGGAGCCGUGGGAAUGUCAUGCACAAGCAGUCGGACUCUCCAGGGGUCUGGAUCUCUCCCUUGCUGCCUUGAAGGCCCCUGCACAGGCUGUGGCACUGGCUGAGUACAGGUGCCUGAAGGCAGAGGCAUGGAUGGGAUGCUUCAUUCUCAGCCUGUUUUUGCCAGUGAAGACAAAAGGGAAGUCAUCUUCCGUUGGUCUAUGGGGACCCUGAGGUAGUAGGAGCUCGGUGAUAAUUCUAGGGACCACCCUGGGUUGUCAGGUGGGGGAGACAGAGAAGCCCACAUAGGAGGCACCAAAUGCAACUCACUCGUGCCCUUUUACUCAUGAGAGAACACGGAUCCAGAGAUGUCAAGUGACUCAGACACAGUCUCACAGCACACAGGCGGCAGAGGCAGGUAGGGGACUGGGCUUCCCUGGCAGCAGUCCCCAAGCCUGCCUGAGAGGCACAUCAGAAUCGCUUUAGGGGAUUUGCAAAACCACACCUGCCCAGGCCCAAACCCUAGAGAUUCUGAUUCCGCAGUCUGAGGUAGGAAUGGAGAAUCCUCCACAGCCUGAGGUAGGAACUGGGAAUCCAGUGUUUAAAACUCUCUAGGGGCGGUGAUUUCAGAAAACCUGCUGGCUCCAUCACACUUUGCUCAGGGACUGAGAUGGGAUGGCAUUUGGAAGACACAGGUAGGAGGAAGAGGAGGCAGUGGGGGGCACAGGGAGACCCUUCCCCUUCUGGUAAAAGCCUGUGGACGAGAGAACAGCCCGAGUAAGAUUCUGAGAACCCGAGACCCGGAUGGACCUGGAGUUUUUGUCUUGCGUAUAAUUUAGGGGGUCUGUGACACUGGGCUGGAGAUAACCGUGUCUUUCCUUUCCCUGGCCUCUAGCUGAAAUUUAGCAUCAUAUUCCAUGGCGAUUUUCCACCAGUGGAAAUCACAGGUGUUCUCUGGUAUCACAGCGGGGUCAGGGAUGACCUGAAAUAUUGUUCAUGCUCAUCACAACUGCAUGGCCCACCGCGGGGUCUUGUCACUCAGUGAGUUCUUGAAGAGGCACAGACAAAUGGAGUUCAACAAAUGGAAAACAACUGCCUUUAAUUAGCUCCGAGGACUACAAAGGGAACAACGUUAUAAUAGCAGCAACUCCAAGGAAGCAGCCACAGCUCUCAGCUCUCAGACCUGGGGCUGCCGCUCAUCAUCAGCUACAGCUAGGUUUGAUGGGAGUGCCCCCAUUUCAGGGGACAGCAGGCCCCCUUCACUCCCCGACUCAGUCCCCAUCUGCAGCAGCACAGCCUUCCUUGGCCUCACCAGGGAAGAAGAACAGGCCCCGCUCUCAGACAAGCCUUCCCAGAAGCCUGAGGACUCAAACACCCAAAUGUGUCUGGGUCCCUGCCCCGAGCCGGCCACCCAGGCAGCAGCCCUGAAUCACUCGGUCAGCCAGCGGCAGGGCAGGCCAAUGGGCUGGAGGGUAGGCAGGCAGGCAGACCCACCUCUGCAUCUCUGCUGACUGCCUCGGCUGAGGAAAGGCAGCACCAGCCCCCAACCCUGAAGUUCUAGAUCUCAUGCAGCCUCUCUGUUCUGGAACCAUCCAGAGGCACUGCCCUUAUACAUGGUCCACCCCCAGGCUCAGACAAUGAGAAUUCCACAAGCAGAGGGGACUCUAUUUGGGGCACAGAGAGGUUAAGUAACUCCCCUCCUAAGGUCUCUCAGCAAGGAAGCCACUGAGCCGUGGGACUUGAGCUCAGGGACUCUUGAUCCCCAGUCUCAGGUGUCACAGCCCCAUCUGGGCUCCUGCUAGGGAGGAGGAAGGCAGCAGGGGGUGUCUGAGGCCAGGGUGCAUCAGCCCUAAAUGCCAGACAGAGGCAGGAGAAGUCUCCCCAUGAGUCCCAGCCCCAUUAGAGGCUCCAGGUCGGGGAUCCCAGACCCCCUAUCCUUGCUGGGAGACACAACCCAGAACUCUGCAUCCCUGCAGCCACCAAAAAAGGCAAAAGCUGCCCAGAAACACUUUCUCCUCUUCCGUGGCCAAAUCCACGAACUUUCUCGAGGUCUGUCCCCCUGCCCCGUGCAGGUCCAGCUUCAGUGCAGCCCAGCUCUGUGCAGUUUUCCACAAAAGCCUGUGGCUUCCUUCUCCUCCCUCUGCUUCUGAUACCCCAGGAGUUACACACAAAAUGUUGGCGGUGGUCUCCAGGAAGACCCCUGCAUCCCACAGCUCUCCCCAGAAGUUGCCAGCAGUGACCUCCUGAGCCCAGGUGGGGAGUCCCAGGCAGGACAGGGGCUGGGGCUGCAGGCCCUGGGGCCCUGUUAGUGAAGCAGCAAGCCGAGGGUCCCUGAGAGUUUCCCUUGGCCCCUCUGAGGGCUGCCCUUUGAGGUCUUGAGGUCUUGGAGUAUCCAUCGCCCCCACGGCUUACUGUCCCCACCAGCGGAGGAUGAAAGUGCCACAGCGAUGUUCCACGCCAAGAGACCACAGAGACCACCAACCCCUCUUCCCACCUCAGGCUUUCAGAGGCCAGCGGAUUUAGGCGGACAGGCUGUGCGCUUGAGGGCAGCCAGGGCGGUCAGUGGAGGGACGUGGUCCGGGGCCUGGCCACAGCUCCCCACCCAGGGCCCUGGGCUAUUGUUACUCACCGCGGAUGAAGGUCGGCGAGUAGGUCGGGAAGGAGUCGAAGAUGCUGUUCGAUGCCAUGCCCCGCUCUGAAGAAG